GUGAUUAUACAUCUGGAUCAAGUCCCACAUCGGCCAAGGCCAACUGAGGCUCUCCAUCGCAAGCGCUUGCACUCCGGCCGUCUCUUACAGGGUUUCAGCACAUCACUGGACAUCGAUCUCACUAGAUGUUCUAGUUUGUACUUCGCAGUACACCUAUAGGGUUACACCUAUAGGGUUGUAGGAUUUGAGGCUUUGAGCAAAUCACUGGACAUUGAUAUCACUAAAUGUUCUAGCUUGAUUUUUCCAGAACACAUAAAGGG